AUAUUUAAAAUUUUAAAUAGUGUAAAAACCGUGAAUGAACGUGAAUGAAAAACAAAUGAGUUUCAAUUGUGUUUUAUUUGAGACCACCAUUGAUUUCACCAUGCAGUGCCCUCAUUUAACUUUACAUAAAGAACAAAAAUUGCUACUUAUUUGGAGUCCAAUAAAUUAUCGAAUCUGUCUUUUUGUUAUUCAGACCUCAGGAGUUUUUCUAUUUUACUAUACAUUUCCCACCUACUGCCUCCACAACAAAAAAUAAGGACGGUUUUGCUCGGGGCGAGAUUCCAUAAGAGACAUACUGUCGUUGAAUCACAGGAAAGUUUCGCAAUUGUUGGAUGUACAUCGUAGGAAGUUCAAGCCAAACUUAAUGUUUUAAAGAUGCAAGCAACGAAUAUUCAACCCCGGUUGUUUAUGGUGGGCGAGAUACAUAAUGUUAAAUCGAUUUAUAUAUAUUUUGAUGACACUAAUUGUAAUUGUCCAACAGUUUCGGAUGCCUUUGACAAGUUACUCCAAAUCUUGUGCGUGUUUGAUGUUCAAUUCCCCGAAGAAUCGGAAGUAUUUUAUAAUUUCAUUCAAAUAUUCUUUAUGACAUUCACAUGACCAAAAGAUGUUCUAGAGCUUCAUCUCUGAAACCGGAGAUAUUACCUUAUAAAAAUGAAUAAUCGAUAAGAAUGCUUACAUAAAAAUGUACUUAGUUAUUAAAGUAUUUUUGAUUUUAA